GGAGGCAGCAGUGGGGAAUUUUCCGCAAUGGGCGAAAGCCUGACGGAGCAAUACCGCGUGAGGGAGGAAGGCUCUUGGGUUGUAAACCUCUUUUCUCAGGGAAGAAAAAAAUGACGGUACCUGAGGAAUAAGCAUCGGCUAACUCCGUGCCAGCAGCCGCGGUAAUACGGAGGAUGCAAGCGUUAUCCGGAAUGAUUGGGCGUAAAGGGUCCGCAGGUGGCAUUGUUUGUCUGCUGUUAAAGAGUUUGGCUCAACCAAAUAAGAGCAGUGGAAACUACAAAGCUAGAGUAUGGUCGGGGCAGAGGGAAUUCCUGGUGUAGCGGUGAAAUGCGUAGAUAUCAGGAAGAACACCGGUGGCGAAGGCGCUCUGCUAGGCCAAAACUGACACUGAGGGACGAAAGCUAGGGGAGCGAAUGGGAUUAGAUACCCCAGUAGUCCUAGCCGUAAACGAUGGAUACUAGGCGUAGCUCGUAUCGACC
rnacentral:rRNA from 1 species